rnacentral:tRNA from 1 species
GGCCCGUUGGAGAAGCGGCUUAACUCACCACCCUUUCACGGUGGCAUUCAUGGGUUCGAAUCCCAUACGGGUCACCA